AAUAUGGGACAAGGGGCGCAAGCCUGAUCCAGCCAGGCCGCGUGAGUGAUGAAGGCCAUCGGUUUGUCCCGCUCUUCCACCGAUGAAGUUAAUGACGGUAGUCGGAUAAGAAGCCCCGUCUAACUUCGUUCCAGCAGCCGCGGUAAUACAAAGGGGCCUAGCGUUGUUCGGAUUUACUGGGCGUAAAGCGCACGUAGGCGGAUUGGUCAGUUAGAGGUGAAAUCCCGAAGCUCAACUUCGGAACUGCCUUUAAUACUGCCAGUCUCGAGUCCGGAAGAGGUAAGUGGAACUCCUAGUGUAGAGGUGGAAUUCGUAGAUAUUAGGAAGAACACCAGUGGCGAAGGCGGCUUACUGGUCCGGAACUGACGCUGAGGUGCGAAAGCGUGGGGAGCAAACAG
rnacentral:rRNA from 1 species